UACAGAAGGGGCAAGCGUUAUUCGGAAUUAUUGGGCGUAAAGGGCGCGUAGGCGGCUUUGCAAGUGACGGGUGAAAUCCCUCGGCUUAACCGAGGAACUGCCUGUCAAACUGCAUGGCUUGAGACCGGGAGAGGUGAGUGGAAUUCCCAGUGUAGCGGUGAAAUGCGUAGAUAUUGGGAGGAACACCAGUGGCGAAGGCGGCUCACUGGACCGGUACUGACGCUGAUGCGCGAAAGCGUGGGGAGCAAACAGG
rnacentral:rRNA from 1 species